AGGAAUCAGGUCCAUGAAGCUGCAGGAACUCAUGACCAUCCCACUCGCCCGGAGCUGCUGCCUGAAUCCAAGUGUUCCUCUCCAAACUCUGCGGGAUCUCUCAGUGACUGAGUCGCAAAAUGGACAAGUUUGAUAAGGAGGGGAGCAGGACGCAGCCUUCGGAGACAUGUCCGUGGAGAAAGUGGAGGGAUUGGUCGGCAUCCACUCUUUGCGCGGCGUUCACCCUGGUGUGUCUGGGAGUUUGCGCGCUGGUGUUUGUCCGGACGUGGGAGCUGCAGCGCAGGAUCGUCAGCCUGGAGCAACAGGGUCCGUCUGCGUGGCUCUGGUCCGUGGAGCAGGUGGAGCCCGUCAUUCUGAAGAGACUGGACCAGAUCCUGGAGGAGAAAUUGGCAGCUCGAUUACCAAAAUCACGAGAAACCCGGGAGGCCCCUCACAGUUGCCUGUGUCCACCAGGACCUCCAGGUCCACCUGGACGACCAGGCUUUCCGGGUGAUAGAGGAAGUAAUGGGAUUCCAGGAAGAAUGGGCUUAAAGGGACACGCAGGGGACAAGGGCGCACCAGGGGAGCCGGGACUGUCCAUCAUUGGGCCGAGAGGACCUCCUGGACAACCCGGAACAAGAGGAUUCCCUGGUUUUCCUGGUCCAAUCGGGUUGGACGGCAAGCCUGGUCAACAUGGAGUCAAGGGAGACAUGGGUCAGCGUGGUCCUAAAGGAAUCCCGGGUGAACCAGGACCCAAGGGAGAGAAGGGUGUCUGCGGUGACUACACACAUCGGAAGCGGCGUAUUGUACAGCCCUGUGUUGGACAGUUGGCCACACAGGGCGAGCCUGGACUGCAGGGCCCACCUGGACCUCCGGGACCUCCCGGGCUGCCGGGGAAUCCUGGCAUUGUCGGGGCUAGUGGCCCACCGGGCAAACCAGGAGAACCAGGAAAGCCAGGCAAAGACCCAAGACUCAUACCGGGACUGAAGGGAGAGCCAGGAGUGGCCGGACAGAAGGGUGAUCGAGGGGAUGUCGGCCCGUCAGGUGUGGAAGGUCCCAAGGGAGAACCAGGUUUCCCAGGUGUGCCUGGCUUGAAGGGUCAGAGUGGCACCCCAGGCAUACCUGGCAAGAGGGGCUACAGGGGCGAGAAGGGUGAGCCCAGCUUUUCAGCCGUUGGGAUUAAAGGAGAACCCGGUUCACCAGGACUACAAGGCACGACUGGACCCAAGGGUGACAAGGGUGACCAGGGAGGAAAGGGAGAAGAUGGUCCCGAAGGCCCAGCUGGACCAAGGGGACCCCCGGGUCCGACUGGAGAGCCAGGGAAGUCUGAAAUCAACAACAAUGAGAACGACAUUCGCAACAUCCCGCUGAUGGGUCCCCCGGGAUUACCUGGACCACCGGGCCCCCCAGGGCUGACUGGGGCUAAGGGUGAAGUUGGGCUACCAGGUCCUCCAGGAUUAGAUGGAGAUAAGGGACCCAGAGGAAAGACGGGUGAGCCUGGCCCUGCUGGCCCCCCAGGGCCCGAGGGACCCCGAGGACAGGGGGGCAUCAUGGGCUACCCUGGACCCAAGGGAGACAAGGGAGAUCUGGGCCCGUCUGGAGCACCUGGUUUAGAUGGCCCUACUGGUGAAAAGGGGGCCGCAGGGGCCCCUGGUCCAAUUGGAUUACCUGGCACCAUGGGCUCGAAAGGUGAACCGGGAGAAGGAGCGCGGUCAGAAGUGAUCUAUGGGCCUCCUGGGCCACCUGGACCAGUCGGACCUGCAGGAUCACAAGGACCUUCAGGCCCGAAGGGAGAGCCAGGCAUAGGCAUCAGAGGCGAGAAGGGAGCGACGGGUCAGAGAGGUGACAAAGGAGACAGAGGCCAUCUUGGACUUCCUGGUCUGAUGGGACCAGCAGGUGUACCAGGACCAGCAGGACCAAAGGGAGAAAGAGGUGAAAAGGGAGACCCAGGCUUGCCAGGACCAAUCGGCCCUCAAGGAAUCCCAGGUUUAGUAGGACCACAAGGAUUCAAAGGGAACCGGGGAGAGAGGGGCAAGAAAGGCAACAGGGGGGCCAAAGGGGAUAAGGGAGACCAAGGAGCACCUGGAUUAGAUGCCCCCUGCCCGUUGGUAUGUUGGUAGUCUCAUGUGCAGCCCAGAGUCGACAGGAAGAAGCGCUGGUCUGCUUCCUGUUGCCUCUGCUACUCUGUGCUUCUGAUGACCCUCAAGGAAGGUCCGGUUCUGUAGAACAGAACUUUCCGCGAGGAACCUUUUUCCCUACAGGGACCAGUCUGACAGGAACCCAUUUGCCAUCCGGUCACCUUAGUUUGGCCAAAGCAAAUUCUUCCCGCCGGGAGACGUCGGUGGCACAGCCUUAGCUCUGAAGACAUUCGAUGACAAACUGUGACAGUGGUGGUCGUUGGGUUCCUGUCCGGUUGGUGGUCACCCGCAUGACUUGGUGACCGCUGACUUUGAGGAGUGAGAAUUCCUCGUCCUGGACGUGGCGAUGGAGCGCCGCUCGGCAGCGGAGGUCUGGUUCUUAAACCACUGAUUUCACAAACAGGGAUUCCGAGGCUUUAAAGGGGAGAAAGGUGAACCGGGCCUGCCGGGCCUGGAUGGGCUGGAUGCCCCUUGCCCUGUGGGCGACGACGGCCUCCCUGUACCAGGAUGUUGGAACAAAUGACGUUAACUUUGGAAUGGCUUUUGUGAUUGUAUAUAGGAUAUUUAUUUUUGUAAUUUCUCCUUAUUCUGCUACUCAUGGAAGACGAUGAAGAUGUCCUGAAAACACGUUUUGUACAGAUGUUUAUUUUAUGUAUUGUAUUUUUAUAUCGGCGCAUUAAUGGAUACUGAAGAGGAUUAUGAGUCGUGGCAACAUGUGCAUGAUAUUUGUGCAUUAUGUAAACUGAAUAAUGCUGACUAACUUAUUGUACCGUGUCCUGUCUGCGACCAUGCUGCGCUUUUUUUGUGCAGCUGGAAAGUUGAAGCGUUGGCCUCUGCCCCUGUUGCGCUGUCUUGAAUGAACUGACCGAGACCAGACUUGAGCCGCUGAAGGAUUUUUGCUAGACAACAAGAGGCUCCUCCUACUCUGUAAACCUGCUACCGGUGACGCGGUCUAGUUCAACAGAUAGAUAGAUGUCAGCACUAAGCUAAGGGGCACUUUCAGUUUCCUUAAAUUGUUUCUAAAUCUGGCAGUCAUUUCUCCCUAGGAUAAACCUACAGACUGAAAAGGAGCUGAGCUAUAAGAUUUCACUUUAACCUGCCAUCUUGAGGUUGGAAAGUGAAAGUAGAGUCCCUCCUCUGUGGACUGUCAUAGUCCAGAGACUGUUGAUGUUGUUUAUUGAAACAGCGCCCUCUGUAGCCUCCCAUUAAUUGAAUAGGAAACGUGCCUUAACUUUGCCUCCCUCACCAGCUCACUGAUGCUUCACUAAAUGGUAUUGAAAUACAUUUAUUUUACACCUCACCAAGAGGAGAAGUCGUCCAAGAACAAAUCUUAGCGCCGUGCGAAGCAGCUUUUCUGCUUUAACCCUGAACCUCCCGCAAAGGCAGUGCGACACACUUCUGCCUGACGUGGUCCCUGUCAGAUCUCUGUGCGUCGUCUGCCCCGAACUCGGCUCAUGACGCCACCUGACUGGCUGCUGAGAGGAGGGACCGACCGCAGCUUUGCUGAGGAUGAUGCUUUCUGCUCGCCACAGUCGGCGUCUCAGUCGACCUUUAAUAUCGGCAGCUCUGAAUCACCAGUCCAGAUAACCAUGAGCCUUUGUUAUUGUUGUUUGUUAACCACAUGCCAACCCUGAGUAAACAACCUGAAAUCAAACAA